GAAGGUGUUGAAAAAUUGCUU
rnacentral:sRNA from 1 species